rnacentral:rRNA from 1 species
UACGGAGGGUGCGAGCGUUGUUCGGAAUCACUGGGCGUAAAGCGCGUGUAGGCGGCCCAUUAAGUCUGAUGUGAAAGCCCGGGGCUCACCCCCGGAAGUGCAUUGGAAACUGAUGGACUCGAGUCCCGGAGAGGAGAGUGGAAUUCCUGGUGUAGCGGUGAAAUGCGUAGAUAUCAGGAGGAACACCGGUGGCGAAGGCGGCAUCCUGGACCGAUACUGACGCUGAGGAGCGAAAGCCAGGGGAGCAAACGGG